rnacentral:misc_RNA from 1 species
CGUUGUGCGCAUUGUCUUCUGGACGUAUGUCUGAAGAGUUAUUGUGAGUGAGGUUCACACUUUUCUCGUUUCUCGACGAGUACCGCCCACGUUUCAAAAGAGCGCCUUUUUACCACCCACCCACACGAAAAGAUAUCUACAAAUACAUUAAUCACUCAUAUCUUCUGCGCAGGUGAGGAUGCCUGUUCAGGCGUUUUUGGGAACCGUCUUUGAGACGCCGGACCGGCACACACUGAACAUUAUCCAGGACGCCCUGGUUGUGGUGCAAGACGGCACCAUUGAACAGGUCAUCAAUCCGGCAACUGAUGCUGCAACCUAUGCAAGCGUGCUCGAGGCGGCUUCGGCCGCCGGCCACCUCACUCGCCUCCAGAAGGGCCAGUACCUGAUCCCUGGACUCAUUGAUCUGCACGUCCACGCUCCGCAGUGGCCGCAGCUUGGCAUGGCACUUGAUAAGAGUUUGGAUACGUGGCUGCAGCAGUACUCGUUCCCGUUGGAGGCGCGUUACAAAGAUCUGGAGUUCGCGGAGAAGUCGUACAGCUCACUCGUGUCCGCGCUGCUGGCGAAUGGAACGACGACGGUGGCGUACUUUGCGUCGAUUCACCUAGAGGCCAGCCUGCUCCUUGCACGUAUCUGCUUGGAGAAGGGACAGCGAGCAGUGGUGGGUCGUGUUGCAAUGGACCUUGCUGAUCAGUGCCCAGAGUACUACCGAGACGCCUCGCCGAAGGAGUCAGUGGCGCAGUCGGAGGCUUUUGUGCAGCAGGUGCGCGCGCUGAAGGGCAAUACUGAAGGCCUCGUGCUCCCGGCGGUGAUCCCUCGUUUCAUUCCGAGUUGCAGCGAUGCGGCGCUACGUGGACUGGGUGAGCUGGCGAAGAGCUAUGGCUGCCAUGUGCAGACACACUGCUCCGAGAGUGAUUGGGAGCACAACCAUGUGAUUGAGCGGUGCGGCAAGCAUGACGCCCUUGCGCUCGAUGACUUUGGACUUUUGACUCGACGGACUGUCCUGGCGCACUGCAACUACCUUUCCACGGAGGACAUGCAACUGGUAAAGGCGCGCGGGGCAGCUGUGGGCCAUUGCCCGCUGUCUAACUUCUACUUUUCUGGUGCGGUCUUCCCGUUGAAAAAGGCUUUGGACAUGGGUGUGCAUGUGGGCAUGGGCACGGACAUCUCUGGAGGUCCGAGCGCCUCGCUGUUUGACGCGUGCCGCUACGCACUCGCGGCGGGCCGCGCGCUGGAGAGCGGCACCGAUCCGUGUCUGAGUGCUACAGAGCGCAGCCAGCACAGCGGCGCCCGCGUGAGCAGUGUGGAAGCGUUCUUCGUGGCUACUGCGAAUGGUGGCAUCUCCCUCGACCUCAAGGUCGGUCGCAUCGCUCCCGGCUAUAUGUUCGACGUAUUGGUGAUCGACACCACGCUUCCGAACAGCAGCCUGAUGAUCUUCGAGGGCAUCGACACCCUGGAGGACGUCUUCCAGAAGAUCGUCUACAACGCGGCGCCGCACAACAUUCUGCGAACAUACGUGAAUGGACGUCUGGUCUCGCAGCACUAAAGUAGAUGCGGGUAACAUCAAACGGCGUGACUCACCGCUACAGGCAAUGCGCGUUGCGCUGGAGGAAACCGUUACAACGAGUAAACCGAUCAAAAAAAAAGGCGAGAUGGGGUCCCGCGGGACCGAUAGGCUACCUAUUCGCACCGUCUUUUUGCGAAAAUAGACCAGCGCUGUCUCGCAUUCUGGUAGUGGGCGGAAAUGAAAGGGUGGAGAGAAGCAAAGCGGCAAUACGUGGCCCAAUUCAACUCCGUACCUGUUCUGACCCCCUCUCCUCAUUAUCUUUCCUUCUGGUUCUUAUCCAAACCUCCUUUUUUUCUUUGAGCUGCAUAUUGAGCAUGCCGAUUAGUGCGGUUAGACGGAGCGGGAAACAGGGUAUGGCUGGAGGGAAAGGUCCGACUUCCUCUUCCUCGUGGAGAUGUGCGUAUCUGACGGCCCACUCUCGGAGUACCUUUCAUCCGCACCCCACAGCUGGUGACUAGUUGAAGUAGCCAGGCUGGCAAUCAGGCUGUUUCUUUUCCCCAUCUCUUACUUUGCUUGGGGUUCAAGGAGUUGUAACGUAUUGGGAGUGCGCAUGAAG